rnacentral:rRNA from 1 species
GAUGAACGCUGGCGGCGUGCCUAAUACAUGCAAGUCGAGCGAACAGACGAGGAGCUUGCUCCUCUGACGUUAGCGGCGGACGGGUGAGUAACACGUGUAUAACCUACCUAUCAGACUGGGAUAACUUCGGGACACCGGCGCUAAUCCCGGAUGAUCUCUUGCACCGCAUUGUUCGAUAGUGAGAUACGGUUGUGCUGUCACUUAUAGAUGGAUCUGCGCCGCAUUAGCUAGUCGGGAAGGUCACGGCCUACCAAGGCAACGAUGCGUAGCCGAACUGAGAGGCGGAUCGGCCACACUGGAGCUGGACCACGGUCCAGGCGCCUAAGGGACGCAGCAGUCGGGAAUGUGACGCAAUGGGCGAAAGCAUGACGGAGCAACGCCGCGUGAGUGAUGAAGGUCUUCGGAUCGUAAAACUCUGCUAUUAGGGAAGAACAAAUGUGUAAGGAACUAUGCACGUCGUGACGGUACCUAAUCAGAAAGCCACGGCUAACUACGUG